GAACCGUACGAACGUUAUUCGGGAAUCACUGGGGCUUAAAGGGUGCGUAGGCGGCCUGGUAAGUUGGGUGUGAAAGCCCUCGGCUCAACCGAGGGAAUUGCGCCCAAUACUGUCAGGCUCGAGGGAGACAGAGGUGAGCGGAACUGAUGGUGGAGCGGUGAAAUGCGUUGAUAUUAUCAGGAACACCGGUUGCGAAGGCGGCUCACUGGGUCUCUUCUGACGCUGAGGCACGAAAGCUAGGGUAGCGAACGGGAUUAGAUACCCCGGUAGUCCUAGCUGUAAACGAUGAGCACUAGGUCGGAGGCCCUUCCACAGGCUUCCGGUCGUAGCGAAAGUGUUAAGUGCUCCGCCUGGGGAGUAUGGUCGCAAAGGCUG
rnacentral:rRNA from 1 species